rnacentral:rRNA from 1 species
AUUGAACGCUGGCGGCAGGCCUAACACAUGCAAGUCGAGCGGAUGAAGGGAGCUUGCUCCUGGAUUCAGCGGCGGACGGGUGAGUAAUGCCUAGGAAUCUGCCUGGUAGUGGGGGAUAACGUCCGGAAACGGGCGCUAAUACCGCAUACGUCCUGAGGGAGAAAGUGGGGGAUCUUCGGACCUCACGCUAUCAGAUGAGCCUAGGUCGGAUUAGCUAGUUGGUGGGGUAAAGGCCUACCAAGGCGACGAUCCGUAACUGGUCUGAGAGGAUGAUCAGUCACACUGGAACUGAGACACGGUCCAGACUCCUACGGGAGGCAGCAGUGGGGAAUAUUGGACAAUGGACGAAAGCCUGAUCCAGCCAUGCCGCGUGUGUGAAGAAGGUCUUCGGAUUGUAAAGCACUUUAAGUUGGGAGGAAGGGCAGUAAGUUAAUACCUUGCUGUUUUGACGUUACCAACAGAAUAAGCCCCGGCUAACUUCGUG